rnacentral:rRNA from 1 species
CCUACGGGAGACAGCAGUGAGGAAUAUUGGUCAAUGGGCGCAACCCUGAACCAGCCAAGUAGCGUGAAUGAUGACUGCCCUACGGGUUGUAAACUUCUUUUAUGAAGGAAUAAAGUGAGGCGCGUGUGCCUUUUUGUAUAUACUUUAUGAAUAAGGAUCGGCUAACUCCGUGCCAGCAGCCGCGGUAAUACGGAGGGUCCGAGCGUUAUCCGGAUUUAUUGGGUGUAAAGGGAGCGUAGAUGGGUUGUUAAGCCAGGUGUGCAAGUGUGCGGCUCAACCGUGAAAUUGCAAUUGAUACUGGCAGGCUUGAGUACAGGUGAGGUAGGCGGAAUUCGUGGUGUAGCGGUGAAAUGCUUAGAUAUCACGAAGAACUCCGAUUGCGAAGGCAGCCUACUAAACUGUGACUGACAUUGAGGCUCGAAAGUGUGGGGAGCAAACAGGAUUAGAUACCCGUGUAGUC